rnacentral:rRNA from 1 species
AAUAUCGUGUUUAUUUGACAAAGGCUCCAAAGGAAGCCACGGCAAACUCUGUGCCAGCAGCCUCGGUAAUACAGAGGUGGCAAGCGUUGUUCGGAAUUAUUGGGCGUAAAGAGCACGUAGGUGGAUUUGUAAGUCAGAUGUGAAAGCCUUCUGUUCAACGGAAGAAUUGCAUCUGAAACUACAGACCUUGAGUAUAGGAGGGGAGAGUGGAAC